rnacentral:rRNA from 1 species
ACGAAUGCUGGCGGCGUGCUUAACACAUGCAAGUCGAACGGAAAGGCCCUGCUUGCCGGGUACUCGAGUGGCGAACGGGUGAGUAACACGUGGGUGAUCUGCCCUGCACUUCGGGAUAAGCCUGGGAAACUGGGUCUAAUACCGGAUAGGAGCCAUUUUUAGUGUGAUGGUUGGAAAGUUUUUUCGGUGUAGGAUGAGCUCGCGGCCUAUCAGCUUGUUGGUGGGGUAAUGGCCUACCAAGGCGGCGACGGGUAGCCGGCCUGAGAGGGUGGACGGCCACAUUGGGACUGAGAUACGGCCCAGACUCCUACGGGAGGCAGCAGUGGGGAAUAUUGCACAAUGGGCGCAAGCCUGAUGCAGCGACGCCGCGUGGGGGAGGACGGCCUUCGGGUUGUAAACUCCUUUCGCUAGGGACGAAGCUUUUUGUGACGGUACCUAGAGAAGAAGCACCGGCUAACUACGUG